CCUACGGCGGACAGCAGUGGGGAAUAUUGCACAAUGGGGGAAACCCUGAUGCAGCGACGCCGCGUGAGUGAAGAAGAAAUUCGUUAUGUAAAGCUCUAUCAGCAGGGAAGAAAAUGACGGUACCUGAGUACGAAGCCCCGGCUAACUACGUGCCAGCAGCCGCGGUAAAACGUAGGGGGCAAGCGUUAUCCGGAUUGACUGGGUGUAAAGGGAGCGUAGACGGCAGUGCAAGUCUGGAGUGAAAGGCGGGGGCUCAACCCCCGGACUGCUCUGGAAACUGUACGGCUGGAGUGCAGGAGAGGUAAGUGGAAUUCCUAGUGUGGCAGUGAAAUGCGUAGAUAUUAGGAGGAACACCAGUGACGAAGGCGGCUAACUGGACUGUAACUGACGUUGAGGCUCGAAAGCGUGGGGAGCAAACAGGAUUAGAUACCCCUGUAGUC
rnacentral:rRNA from 1 species